rnacentral:lncRNA from 1 species
CCAAAUCGAAGAAAAACUAUCCUUGAUUCAGAAAUGUAGUCAUAAAAUGAUUCAAGAGAUGGGAUGUAGAUGGAAAAAUCAGAAAAAAUUAAGAAAAUAGAAAAAAAAAACACAUAUUGAUAGAAAAUAAUAAAUUGCUGCUAGAAUUUAACUUAUCUUAUUUGCCUUCUCUAUUUUAUCAAUCAAUUGUGACUUGUACAGAAAUGCCCUUAUAUAAGUCCUUCUCCAUCUCGAUCUGGCAUUGCGUGAAUCCUUAACCAUGUGGAUUCGUCAGGGAUAGCUGAAGAGAAAAAGAAGAGAGAGAGAGAGAGAGAGAGAGAACAAAAUAGAGAGAUGAGAGAAGGAGAUGAAGAAGAAAGAAAAAAUGAUGUCGUUUGAUGAGCUUGUAUACAAGCUCUUUUAGUUGUUCUAGGAUUAUCACGUAAGGUAUGUAAAGUUAUUG